UCCAUUUGGAAGACUAGACGCUCCUUUGAGAGACUAGACGCUCCUUUGUGAGGCUAGUCUUAGUCUUUUGGCUUUCAUAGUGUGGUGAGCUUGGGCCCUCUUCCAUCAUCCCCUCCCUCUUGAAAAAGGAUUUGUCCUCAAAUCCAAUGCUUUUGCUUAGGGGAAUGGUUGUGGCUGGAUGGUGUCCAUCAUCUCCUCCUUCUUUUGAGAAGAUCUAUCCUCAGAUCUUCAGGCUUGACCUCGGAUAGCAGCAUCUUGUUUCUUCAAAGCUUGUCCUCCUGGAUCAAACGUCCACCUAUAGAAAUAAUCAAAGAAAGCAUAGGUGUU
rnacentral:lncRNA from 1 species